ACCUUUCGGUAGGUAAGGCUAUCAUAGGGAUACGGACCGCUGCCGCGAACCAGUGGAGACACUGAUAGAUGGUCAACAAUUCACAUCGUUUAAGGUGUGUUUUAACGCGGUUUCAUCGCCCUGUGAUGCUAAAGCUUGAACGAAGGUG
rnacentral:sRNA from 1 species